rnacentral:rRNA from 1 species
CACAUGCAAGUCGAACGGCAGCACAGAGGAGCUUGCUCCUUGGGUGGCGAGUGGCGGACGGGUGAGGAAUACAUCGGAAUCUACUCUGUCGUGGGGGAUAACGUAGGGAAACUUACGCUAAUACCGCAUACGACCUACGGGUGAAAGCAGGGGAUCUUCGGACCUUGCGCGAUUGAAUGAGCCGAUGUCGGAUUAGCUAGUUGGCGGGGUAAAGGCCCACCAAGGCGACGAUCCGUAGCUGGUCUGAGAGGAUGAUCAGCCACACUGGAACUGAGACACGGUCCAGACUCCUACGGGAGGCAGCAGUGGGGAAUAUUGGACAAUGGGCGCAAGCCUGAUCCAGCCAUACCGCGUGGGUGAAGAAGGCCUUCGGGUUGUAAAGCCCUUUUGUUGGGAAAGAAAUCCAGCUGGCUAAUACCCGGUUGGGAUGACGGUACCCAAAGAAUAAGCACCGGCUAACUUCGUGCCAGCAGCCGCGGUAAUACGAAGGGUGCAAGCGUUACUCGGAAUUACUGGGCGUAAAGCGUGCGUAGGUGGUCGUUUAAGUCCGUUGUGAAAGCCCUGGGCUCAACCUGGGAACUGCAGUGGAUACUGGGCGACUAGAGUGUGGUAGAGGGUAG